rnacentral:sRNA from 1 species
CUGUUUUUUGAGAUGGGGUGUCACUCUGUUGCCCAGCCUGGAGUGCAGUGGCGCAGUCUUGGCUCACUGCAACCUCUGUCCCCUGAGUUCAAGUGAUCCUCCCUCUUCAGAGUCCUAAAUAGCUGGGACCACAGGCGUGUGCCACCACGCUCGGCUAAUUUUUGUAUUUUUGGUAGAGACAGGGUUUCACCAUGUAACCCAGGCUUGUCACAAACUCCUGACAUCAAGCAAUCCACCUGCCUCGGCCUCCCAAAUUGCUGGGAUUACAGGCGUGAGCCACUGUACCUGGCCCCUAAGAUUCUUUCUUUUCUUUUCUUUUCUUUUUUUUGACGGAGCCUCGUUCUGUUGUGCAGACUGGAGUGCAGUGGUGCGAUCUUGGCUCACUGCAACCUCAGCUUCCUGGGUUCAAGCGAUUUUCCUGCCUCAGCCUCCCAAGUAGGUGGGAUUAUAGGUGCCUGCCACCAUGCCCGGCUAAUUUUUGUAUUUUUAGUAGAGACGGAGUUUCACCAUAUUGGUCAGGGUGGUCUCAAACUCCUGACCUCAGGUGAUCCACCGCCCCCAUCAGCCUCCCAAAGUGCUGGGACUACAGGUGUGACCCUAGCCUAAACAGUAUUUUUUUAAAUUGUAGCAAUAGACAUUUUAUUAGAAAAAGAAUUUUACUGCCAUCUGCUGGAAAGUUGUCUUCAUAACCAUAUGAAAUCUGGGUUGUCCAAGAUAUGAAUAGCAUCCUUUAGAUGUUCCAAUCUGCACAACUGUCCACCCUUCUCUGGAAUGUCUCGUGGAACAGUCAGCCCAGGUGUCUCUCCUCUCAGUUAGAUCCUCAUGGGCAAACAGCACAGCCUCUCUUCCGUCCCUCAUCCUAAAGCUGCCCAUGUCUGUAAUGAUUUCCUUCUCUUACAGACGCUGGUUCACCAUUCAGAGCAACCAACUGGUUUACCAGAAGAAGUACAAGGUGAGUGGGCCUGGGUCCUGGAUGCCUGGGCCCCAGGGAGACUCAGCUCUUGCCUGCAGCUGGACAUCUGGCCCCUUAUCACCUUAUCCUGCCAGGACCCUGUGACUGUGGUGGUGGAUGACCUUCGUCUCUGCACAGUGAAACUCUGCCCUGACGCAGAAAGGCGGUUCUGCUUUGAGGUGGUGUCCACCAGCAAGUGAGUGCAAUCCCCAGGGGUGAUAUUCUAGUAUAUCUAAACAGCUGCCAAUCUGAAAGGCAGGGCCCACCACAAUGGAGGCCCCCCAUGCACCUCCAGACCUUAAUUUAAUCCUUUGGCAGCUGGACUGGGGGGCCGUUGUGGAAGAGGGUACAGGGUGAUGGGGGAUAUUUAGGAGAAUAUUACCAACUGGUACAGAAGUCUUUCAAUGCAACUAGAACUGGUUGAAUACUGGCUGAAUGUCAGCCUGCCCAUCCUGCCACUUUGCUUCCCGGGCCUCAGACCCCUCUGCCAUCUCCCUCACCCUCCUACCUAGGUCCUGCCUCCUCCAGGCUGACUCAGAGCGCCUCCUGCAGCUGUGGGUCAGUGCUGUGCAGAGCAGCAUUGCUUCUGCCUUCAGUCAGGCUCGCCUUGAUGACAGCCCCCGGGGUCCAGGCCAGGUACCUUAAUCUGGGGGUGCGGAGCCAGGCUGCCCGUGGAGAUGGGGCACCCUUUACCCUAGGCCCCUUGGCCACCCUUUCUUCCCCUCUCUCCCCCAGGGCUCGGGACACCUGGCCAUAGGCUCUGCUGCCACCCUGGGCUGUGGUGGAAUGGCUAGGGGAAGGGAGCCUGGGGGAGUCGGGCACGUAGUGGCCCAGGUCCAGAGUGUGGAUGGCAAUGCCCAGUGCUGCGACUGCCGGGAGCCAGCCCCGGAGUGGGCCAGCAUCAACCUUGGUGUCACCCUCUGCAUUCAGUGUUCCGGCAUCCACAGGUUACUCCACGAGGCCCAUGCGGGAGCCCCACUCCUUCGGGCCACAGUGAGGCUCCAAUAGAGAGCUCACCACACCAGCCCCUCUUCUUUCCCUGUCCUGGCUUCCUCUCUUAGCUUCUGGCUUUGUCACUGGGUACCAGGCCUGGGCCCAAGCCUGUGGGGUGCCAGUUGGACCCAGGUGGGCCUAGCCCCUCUGUGUCCUAGUCUGGCCAAAAUUGGGGGAUACCCAUAAUUUGUUGGCUUGGUUGGAAGAAGUGUGGGGUCCAGGCUGCUGAGGGUGGGGCAGCCAAUGAAGACUAGGCAGAGAAACGGUCAUGAGGCCUUAGCAAGUGUCUAAGGCCCUCACCCCCCACCUCAGUGUGGCGGAAGGGAGGUGACAUGGGAGAGGUUGUCCAGGCCAAAGUGUCACUAGAGAAGGGAGGUGGCUGGAGUGAUGAGGGCCUUGAAAUGAAACCUAAGGAACAAGGAAUGGUGACGAGGCAGGGUCCUGUCAGGGCCGGGUCAAGGCUACAUGGCGGCUACAUGGCCGCAGCUGCCCUGCCUCCUGGGCCAGCACCUCUGCACAGGCCCCCAUGCCAGCCUUGCCUCCCAGUGUCUUCAGGAGCAGCAGCAGCUCCCCAGGCCACUGCCCCCCUGCACAGGGCCUGACCCUCCCCUCUGGCCCUCCAGGAGUCUUGGUGUUCACUUCUCCAAAGUCCGGUCUCUGACCCUUGACUCAUGGGAGCCAGAACUAGUGAAGGUAACUUAGGGUAUUGUGAAGAUUGGGCACAAGAACUUGGGGUGGGGCAAGGACAUGGGGGUGCAGGGGCGUGAUCCCUGAGGAGUCACUCGCCCCCACCUUCCCUGUCUCUGCCUCUGCCUGGGCCUCCCGAAGCUCAUGUGCGAGCUGGGAAACGUCGUCAUCAACCAGAUCUACGAGGCCCGCGUGGAGGCAAUGGCAGUGAAGAAACCAGGGCCCAGCUGCUCCCGGUGAGCUUGGGGUUUAGCCUCCCAGGGGAAUGGGGGGCCCCUGGAGCAAGAAGAGGGAAGACUGCCUGCUUCUCCCCUCCCACAGGCAGGAGAAGGAGGCCUGGAUUCAUGCUAAAUACGUGGAGAAGAAGUUCCUGACCAAGCUGCCUGAGAUUCGAGGGCGAAGAGGUGGCCGGGGGCCCCCAAGGGGGCAGCCUCCUGUGCCCCCAAAACCUUCCAUCAGGCCCCGGCCAGGAAGCUUGAGAUCCAAGCCAGGUAUAGGGUUGGUUGGGCAUUCAUUGAGCACCUGCUGUGUGCUCGGUACCGUGCCAGGUACCGCGGGGAGGCACAGAGUGUGAAGCCCAGGCCUUCCCCUGGAGAAUGUCGGAGGGACCGGACUGCAAUUUCAGGGGUUACGGUGGAGUGUGACAUUAAGAAUGGGAAGGAAUGUGGGGCUGGGCGUGGGCAGGGAGGGUAAGGGGUGCCAACAGCAUGAGAAAAGGAGAGAGAGAGGGGGUGGGUUUGGCUGGAGCAUCAGGGGUUGAGAGCUGAGGCCAAGUGUCAGGCAGUCAGCUCACCUGUGUCAUCCCAGCAGUCGGGGUGGUUGGACACGCCUGCAUCACUCUAUUCCCUCCACAGUCCCAAGCUCCCCAUCAUUUAGAAGAGACCUGUCCCAUUAUAGCACUGGGGCACUGUGCUGAGGGUUUUCUUCUCAGACUCAGAGCUGCUUACAGAACCAAAUCCCCGAACAGAGCCCCCCUCUGAGGACCUGGGAAGCCUGCACCCUGGGGCCCUACUCUUUCGAGCGUCUGGGCAUCCUCCAUCUCUUCCCACCAUGGCCGACGCGCUUGCCCAUGGAGCUGAUGUCAACUGGGUCAAUGGGGGCCAAGAUAAUGCCACACCGCUGAUCCAGGCCACAGCUGCUGUAAGAGCCCUGCCCACCUCCCCACCCCACCCUAGGGCUGACACCUACUCCUGACUCUGGGCCCUGCCCUCACCUCGUUUUCCCACUACCUGUUCCCUAGGGCCUCCACCCACAGGGAGAGAUCAGCAAUAGAGACUGGUUGCUAAGUGUGUGUGAUUUGGAGGCAGAGAAUCUGAGUUUGAACCCAGGCUCUCACCCCUUACAGGAGAUUUUUUUUUUUUUUUUUUUUUUUUUUGAGACAGAGUCUCGCUGUGUCCUCCAGGCUGGAGUGCAGUGGUGUGAUCUCGGCUCACUGCAAGCUCCGCCUCCCGGGUUCAGGCCAUUCUCCUGCCUCAGCCUCCUGAGUAGCUGGGACUACAGGCGCCCACCAGCAUGCCCGGCUAAUUUUUUGUAUUUUUAGUAGAGACAGGGUUUCACCGUGUUAGCCAGGAUGGUCUCGAUCUCCUGACCUUGUGAGCCACCGCGCCCGGCCUACAGGAGACUUUUAAGAAGUUAUUAACCUCUCAGCCUCAUCUGUAAAAUAGUAACAUACCUCAUAAGCUUGUACUAUGGAUUUAUAUAUGAAUACAUGCAAAGAGCUAGAGCCAAGUCUGACAGCUGUAACCCCUUCCACAUUCCUGAUUACCACACUCCACCCUCCCAUUCUCUGAACUGGCGCCACCCUAAGACAUCUUGAAAUCCACCACUAGGGAUGCCACCCUCAACCCCCCUUCUCGACUUCUCCAUGCAGAAUUCUCUUCUGGCCUGUGAGUUUCUCCUCCAGAACGGGGCGAACGUGAACCAAGCGGACAGUGCGGGCCGGGGCCCGCUGCACCACGCAACCAUUCUUGGCCACACGGGGUAGGGAUGAUGGCCAUGGGGAGGAAGGCUGGGAGACGUUGGCCGGCCGGCUGACCCUGGCUUUUCUCUCCAGGCUCGCCUGCCUGUUCCUGAAACGGGGAGCUGAUCUGGGAGCUCGAGACUCUGAAGGCAGGGACCCUCUGACCAUCGCCAUGGAAACAGCCAACGCUGACAU